rnacentral:rRNA from 1 species
UAGGGAAUAUUGGACAAUGGGCGGAAGCCUGAUCCAGCAAUGCCGCGUGAGUGAAGAAGGCCUUCGGGUUGUAAAGCUCUUUCGGCGGGGACGAAAAGGUCCGUGUUAACACCACGGAUCCAUGACGGUACCCGCAGAAGAAGCACCGGCUAACUACGUGCCAGCAGCCGCGGUAAUACGUAGGGUGCAGGCGUUAAUCGGAAUUACUGGGCGUAAAGCGUGCGCAGGCGGUCUACUAAGACAGGUGUGAAAUCCCCGGGCUUAACCUGGGAACUGCGCUUGUAACUGGUAGGCUUGAGUGUGGCAGAGGGGGGUGGAAUUCCACGUGUAGCAGUGAAAUGCGUAGAGAUGUGGAGGAACACCGAUGGCGAAGGCAGCCCCCUGGGCUAACACUGACGCUCAUGCACGAAAGCGUGGGGAGCAAA